rnacentral:lncRNA from 1 species
AUGGUACUGGACAUGGUAUCUGAGGAUUUGGAUUUGUGUCACAAUCAGCCACUUGUUAGUUUAUUCUUGUCCUAUCCUGCAGGUACUAGACAAUGCUGUCAGGCGACCAUGGACACAGUUACAGAAGAGGACAAGUACAAUGUCCCUCACCAGAUGAUACCUUUCCUCUCCUACGCAACUCACACAUCUCUGGAGAAUUUUUACAAUUCCAGUCCUCUAGUACUGACUAUAAACAUAUGCAACUACUGUGAUACAUCAAAGAAGGGAUACUCUGGAAAGGAGAAAGAGAAAAGGAACAGCAGAAGAAACCAUGACUUUAAAUUCUCUUUAAAUCCCCAUAAAGUUAUAAUUACAAAUAGUCACUUGACAAAACAUCUCUGAACAAACCUUCCCUCAAUCUCUAUGCAGUUGAAGAAAGCAAGGAAUAUUUCCAAUAAAAUUCAUAAACUCAAAAAACAUCUGUCCUUUUGGCAAUCACUUCUUUCUAUUUUAUCAACCCAAUGCCUUCUUUGUCUCCUUACAGUCUCUGCAUAUUUAAAAAAAAGGAAUAGAGCUGAUGUCAUUUGCAACUGUUUAUUGACAAAGUUAACUGUUGAAGAGUUUCAUACUUCUGAAUUCUCCCUCUUUUAUCUAUCAUUAUAGGCUAGGUCUAUUCCACCCAAAAGAAAUUUGGGGCAUUGUAAAGCCCUCAAUGAUCUCCAUCUCCUGGUAUUUAUGACCUCAUAAAUUUCCUUCCCCUUAAAUGUGGAAGAGACCUGUGACUUAUUUUUAACUAAGUGGGCAUGGCAAAAGUAAAUGUAGUAAGAUGACACUACCAUGAUUAUGUUACGUAAGUCUAUGAAUCCUCUCCCUUGUAGACUUUGAUAAAGAAGGUUUUCAUGUGGCGAUAUCUACAUGAUAAGACCCCUGCUGGGGUGAGGAGACCCCAGUCAACAGCCAGCAAGGAGCUGAGGCCCUCAGUCCAACAACCCACAAGGAACUGCAUCCUCCAACAACCACAUCAGACUUGGGGUUGAUUCUCUCCCAGUCGAACCUUCAGAUGAGACAGUGGCCCCAAUUGACAAGAUGAUUGCAGCCUGUGAGUAACUAUGAAGCCAAGUACCCAGCUAAGCCAUGCUCAGAAUCCUGACCUAAUGAAUCUGUGACAUAAUAAAUGUAUUGUCUUAAACCACUAAAUUUGUGGUAAUUUAUUAUGCAACAAUACAUAUCUCAUACAGCAUCAAGAAUAAAGCAGAGAGAUUUGGGGAGAGGAAACUAGAAGCAUCUAAAAGACCUACUUAUAAAGAUAAGCAGGUUAUUUACUUAUUUUGAUUUAGAGGGUUAUUUUGAUUUAAGCAUUUCAAAAUGACAUGAGUAGGAAUAUAUGAUGUCCACACAGCUCUUUACUCAUCCAGGCUAAUCCAGGUGAAGCCAAUAUUGUCUGAACACUAUGCAGCCACAAAGUGCUAGACUUAGGAGAUUUCACUGCAAAAUUAUGUAUGUUCCUUCAUAACCAGGUAAUUCUAAAAAUCUGUCAAUUAUUUAACUUUAGCAUAUAUCUAUGUGUCAUUCUAAGAAUUGUACAGGUUACCAGACUAUUUAAUAAUGACUACCAAUAGUUUUAGUUGCUAAACCCAAUAUACAAGCCAAAUAUUCCAGCAACAUCAAUUAAAAAAGAGUUGUUUUAUAAAUAAACCUUUCUACAUUUUCACAUUUCAUGGAAAUGUAAGUAUUUUAGAAGAAUACGUGCUAAUCUCAUUGUGAUUAUGCAUUCACACACACAUACACACACAUCCA